CCUACGGGUGGCAGCAGUGAGGAAUAUUGGUCAAUGGACGAGAGUCUGAACCAGCCAAGUAGCGUGAAGGAUGACUGCCCUAUGGGUUGUAAACUUCUUUUAUAUGGGAAUAAAAUGUUCCACGUGUGGGAUUUUGUAUGUACCAUAUGAAUAAGGAUCGGCUAACUCCGUGCCAGCAGCCGCGGUAAUACGGAGGUUCCGAGCGUUAUCCGGAUUUAUUGGGUUUAAAGGGAGCGUAGGUGGAUUGUUAAGUCAGUUGUGAAAGUUUGCGGCUCAACCGUAAAAUUGCAGUUGAAACUGGCAGUCUUGAGUACAGUAGAGGUGGGCGGAAUUCGUGGUGUAGCGGUGAAAUGCUUAGAUAUCACGAAGAACUCCGAUUGCGAAGGCAGUUCACUGGACUGCAACUGACACUGAGGCUCGAAAGUGUGGGUAUCAAACAGGAUUAGAUACCCUUGUAGUC
rnacentral:rRNA from 1 species